CUAGGUUUGACAUGGACCAGAUCGCCGGUGAAAGUCGGUUUCCCUUCGGGGCUGGUUCACAGGUGCUGCAUGGCUGUCGUCAGCUCGUGUCGUGAGAUGUCGGGUUAAGUCCCGCAACGAGCGCAACCCCUGCCCUCUGUUGCUACCGGGUCAUGCCGGGCACUCUGAGGGGACUGCCUCGGUUAACGGGGAGGAAGGUGGGGAUGACGUCAAGUCCUCAUGGCCUUUAUGCCUAGGGCUACACACGUGCUACAAUGGUCAGGACAAAGGGUUGCUACUUCGCAAGGAGACGCCAAUCCCAAAAACCUGGCCCCAGUUCGGAUGGUCGGCUGCAACUCGCCGGCUUGAAGCUGGAAUCGCUAGUAAUCGGAGAUCAGCACGCUCCGGUGAAUACGUUCCCGGGCCUUGUACACACCGCCCGUCACACCACGAAAGCUGCGUGUACCCGAAGUCGCUGAGCUAACCCGCAAGGGAGGCAGGUGCCGAAGGUAUGCGGGGUGAUUGGGGUG
rnacentral:rRNA from 1 species